rnacentral:sRNA from 1 species
GGAGAAGGACAAAGUGGAGAGGGAGGAGAUGGAGCAAUCUCUUAUGUGAUCAUUCCAUCAACUCACAGAUUUUUCACCUAACACCUGGUUCAACUGUAAUGUGCUGAGCUCCAUAUAACCUGGACAGCAGCUGUGCCCUCACCCCUAAACUCAGCAAAAUAUUAUGGUCCUCUAAUCAAGAGAAUUUUGCUCCUGUUACUGCAUGUCUUGUGGGUUCAUCGUCAGACCAGUGAGUUGAUACCAAACUUCACCAAACGGUUCUCCGGAGCAACCGUUUAGAGUCACUUAGAGCACCUGAUACUCCUACAGUUCUUAGGAGUGAAUACCUUAGAAAGGAGCCGCCAAGACAACUGAACCCAUCUUAGGCGCUAACAACCAGCAUCUUGGGCUCCGAGUGUCCGGGUGACUUGACUACCCUACCUGUGUCUGUGACUGAGUAGAGGCAAGAGGAGGGGGCUCUUAGCAGAAAUACAUUGGACAUGUGACCUGGUGAAGGCCAAGGGAGGGGUGUUGAUGUGAAGACGCUGGGGACAUCAUCUGUGAAGACAGGCCAGCCCUCCCCUUCUGCUGGAGCCUCAGUGUCCCCUCACCAUUCUGCGCUGGUCCAGAGAUUUCCUGCUGUUGAUACUUAUCAGAGACACAAAGCUGAGGAGGAACAGAUGUGCCAUGUCAUCAGCCAUAAUAGAAAAAGUGCAUGUAUCUUUUUUGGACCAGAUGUUUGCAAGAGUUGUAUUAAAUAUAUUUCAUUCUGCUGUCUCAGCCUCUCAAAUCCUUUUCAUGAAGAUUACUUUAAUGGGUGUCAGUUACAAUCACAAAAAGCACCCAUUUUGCUUUUGUUUUCUAGCAAAAAACAAUGGGGAAACUUUCCAUCUUAAACAGAAUAUUGAAAAGGGGGAGGUAGUAAAGAUUUUGAAAAUUGAACUAAUCAUUUUAUUUUCCUCUUUUCCAUGUUCCUGUUUUUAUUUGAUGUUAAAGCUAAAAAUAAUCAGAAUACAACAAAGUUGAAUGAGAAAGGGGCAACUGAACAGUUUGUGUGUGACAGUUGGUACCUACUAUUGUUUAUAGGUCGUCUAUUCUAUCUUAAGCCUUCCAUUUAAAGGAAACUUCUAGGAAAUACCUAACAUUUUGAAGAAAUCCAAACGACUAUUAAAACACUAUCAAACAAAAGGCCAUAAUUAGCUGGGCGCAGUGCCUCAUGCCUGUAAUCCUAGUACUUUGGGAGGCUGAGGCAGGAGGAUCAUUUGAAACUAACCUGAGCAACAAAGCAAGACUCCAUCUCUACAAAAAAUACAAAAAUUAGCCAGAUGUGGUAGUAGACGCCUGUAGUCCGAGCUACUUAGGAUGUUGAGGUGGGAGGAAGGCUUGAAGCUAAGAGGUUGAGGUUGCAGUGAGCUGUGAUUGUGCCACUGCUCUCUAGCCUGGGCAACAGAGCAAGACCCUGUCUCAAAAAAAAAACUGUAAUUAAUAAGGAACUAUUAAUGCAUGAAAAAAUGGAGACACCCUCAUUACCCUCAUGGAGCUUGCAUUCUAAUGGAGAGGGGCCAGAAAUAAGCAUACUGUACAGCAGGUCACAUGGUGGUAAGCGCUAUGGAAAAAACAAAGCAUGACCUGGGAAUAAGGGAGUGUAAGGUGAGAGAGUGGGGUGGGCAAUUUAAAAUAGUGUAGACAGAUAAGGUCUCAUUAGGAAGGUGACAUUUGAGCAAAGACAGAGCUGAGAGAGGCUAAACAUGGGUGUGGGGGAAAAGUGUUCCAGGCAGAGGAAGCAGCAAGUGUGAAGGUUCUGAGGCAGGCAUGCGGCUGAUAUGUUGAAGGAACAUCACAGCAGCCAGGAUGGACUGAAACAGGAGAGGGUCAGUAGUAAGGGUGGAGGCUAGAUCAUAGAGGGACUAACAGGCCAUCAUAAGGACUUUGGCUUUUACUCUGAGAUGGGAAGCCAUUGACAUGUUUGAUCAGGGGAGUGACAUGACUUACCUUCUAGUUUUAAAAGAUCCUUCUUUUAGAAAUGAUUGUUAUGGUUGAUAAGAGACUACUGGAGAGGGUGGGGAUAUGCAGAAACAUGGUGAGAGGUAGUCACAUUCCAGAUGUAUUUUGAAGAUUCAGCCCAUAGGAUUUAUGGAGAGGUUAGAUGCAGGAUAUGAGAGAAGGGAGUCAAGGAUACUCCAAGGUUUUGACCCGAGCAAUUGGAAAGAUGGAAAGCCAUCUGCUGAGAUAGGAAAGAAGAGCAAAGAAGCAGAUGUGGUGAGAGUGAGAGCAAGAGUUGGGUUGUGGACAUGUUGACUUUGAGAUCAUCUGAGUGAGCAUGGAGAGGGUGCAGUUGGAGUGUGAAUCUGGGGCUCAGGGGAGAAACCUGGGUUGGAAAUACAAACGUGGAGUUGUCUGCAUACUCAUGGGCUAGAGGUCAGAACCGAGGCAGGUGGCUGGGGGAGCUGGCCUGGUUUUUGUGCCCUCUGGGAAUGGCCAGCCUCAGACCUCCUGACUGGUCAUGGCCAGGAGGUCAGAAAUCUGAAGGUGAAUCCUAACCCUAACUUGAGUCCUUGGCUGAGAUCUCAGGACUAGUUCCCAGCUGGCCUGGGUCCUCAAGGAGUAAAGGAGCAGUCCUGGAGCACCCAGCUGUGCCAGUACCUGGGGAAAAAGUAACUACAGAUGGAAAGUCUCCAUGGAAGAGAUGACCAGAUCUCUACUCUGGAGAGAGAAAUAACAAAGAAAAUAUUCAGAAAACAUAGUAGAGGUGAGCUGACAUCAUCAAACCUUGAAGUUCUUGCACUUAAGUUUUCCACUGUGUCCUGAAUCAGGUGAUAUUGGGGUCUCCUCUGUCACCCAAGCCCGAGGGUACAGUGGUGCAAUCACAGCUCACUGCAGCCUCGACCUCUGAAGCUCAAGCAAUCCUCCCACCUCAGCGUCUGGAGUAGCUGGAUCUACAGGAAUCAUUAACCAAUGGCAACAGGAAUCCAAGGAUAAAGUGAUUUCCCUCCUGUUAACUCAUCUGCCUUUGCUGAAGCCAGGAAACCUUGACGCAAAAGUAGAAUAUAUGAAACUACUGCCCAAAAUCCUGGCUCACUCUAUUGAACACAACCAGCACAUUGAGGAGAGCAGGCAGCUGCUGUCCUAUGCUUUGAUACAUCCAGCCACUUCGUUAGAAGACCGUAGUGCUUUAGCCAUGUGGCUGAAUCACUUGGAGGACCGCACAUCGACCAGCUUUGGUGGCCAGAACCGAGGCCGCUCAGACUCUGUGGAUUAUGGACAGACACACUACUAUCACCAAAGACAGAACUCUGAUGACAAGCUCAAUGGGUGGCAGAACUCUCGGGAUUCUGGGAUUUGCAUCAAUGCCUCCAACUGGCAGGACAAAAGCAUGGGGUGUGAGAAUGGCCAUGUGCCCCUCUACUCCUCCUCAUCUGUCCCCACCACAAUCAAUACGAUUGGAACCAGCACAAGUACAAACUGACUCUAAUCCUGGCUAUGCAGAGGAACCCCCACUUCCACUUGGGGUACACCUGGCAGGCACCAGUCAAAGCAUCCACCAGAUAUUCUGAAAUGGUUGCAGAAGUACCAGAAAGCAAAGAUGUCUAAGCUGGAAUGUCCCAGCACUCAGGGCAGCCCUAAACAGUCUGCCCAAUUUUAUAUAAAUACUUAGACAG